UACGUAGGGGGCAAGCGUUGUCCGGAUUUAUUGGGCGUAAAGAGCGUGUAGGCGGCUAGGUAGGUCCGUUGUGAAAACUCGAGGCUCAACCUCGAGACGUCGAUGGAAACCAUCUAGCUAGAGUCCGGAAGAGGAGAGUGGAAUUCCUGGUGUAGGCGGUGAAAUGCGCAGAUAUCAGGAAGAACACCCGUGGCGAAGGCGGCUCUCUGGUACGUGACUGACGCUGAGACGCGAAAGCGUGGGGAGCGAACAGG
rnacentral:rRNA from 1 species